rnacentral:tRNA from 1 species
CGCGGGGUGGAGCAGUGGUAGCUCGUCAGGCUCAUAACCUGAAGGUCGUGCGUUCGAAUCGUACCCCCGCAA